CCCAACUAUCCCUAUUAAUCAUUACGUCAAUCCUAGAAACCAACAAAAUAGAAUCAUGCCGUCCUAUUUUAUUAUUCCAUGCUAAUGUAUUCAAGCAAAAAUGCCUGCUUUAAACACUCUAAUUUUUUCAAAGUAAAGGUCCUGGUUCCUCGUGGCACCCAAUUAAGGACAUCACGGUUCUCCAGAAGGUGAGAAAUUCACUACACCAGUUCAUACCCCUUAAGGCACGACCGAUGUGCAAAUCCCGAAAUUCAACUACGAGCUUUUUAACUGCAACAACUUUAAUAUACGCUAUUGGAGCUGGAAUUACCGCGGCUGCUGGCACCAGACUUGCCCUCCAA
rnacentral:misc_RNA from 1 species